CAAGGAAUAUUGGGCAAUGGGCGAAAGCCUGACCCAGCGACACCGCGUGGGGGAAGAAGGCCCUCGGGUUGUAAACCCCUUUUAUCAGGGAAGAAUAAUGACGGUACCUGAUGAAUAAGCUUCGGCUAACUACGUGCCAGCAGCCGCGGUAAUACGUAGGAAGCAAGCGUUAUCCGGAUUUACUGGGCGUAAAGCGGGCGUAGGUGGCCUUUCAAGUCCGAUGUGAAAUCUCCCGGCUUAACUGGGAGGGUGCAUCGGAUACUGUUGGGCUAGAGUGCAGCAGAGGGAGAUGGAAUUCCCGGUGUAGUGGUGAAAUGCGUAGAUAUCGGGAGGAACACUAGUGGCGAAGGCGGUCUCCUGGGAUGUAACUGACACUGAGGCCCGAAGGCGUGGGUAGCAAACAG
rnacentral:rRNA from 1 species